GCCGGCGCCCCUACGGGAGGCAGCAGUGGGGAAUUUUGGACAAUGGGCGCAAGCCUGAUCCAGCAAUGCCGCGUGUGUGAAGAAGGCCUUCGGGUUGUAAAGCACUUUUGUCCGGAAAGAAAACCUCCGCCCUAAUACGGUGGGGGGAUGACGGUACCGGAAGAAUAAGCACCGGCUAACUACGUGCCAGCAGCCGCGGUAAUACGUAGGGUGCAAGCGUUAAUCGGAAUUACUGGGCGUAAAGCGUGCGCAGGCGGUUCGCUAAGACAGAUGUGAAAUCCCCGGGCUUAACCUGGGAACUGCAUUUGUGACUGGCGGGCUAGAGUAUGGCAGAGGGGGGUAGAAUUCCACGUGUAGCAGUGAAAUGCGUAGAGAUGUGGAGGAAUACCGAUGGCGAAGGCAGCCCCCUGGGCCAAUACUGACGCUCAUGCACGAAAGCGUGGGGAGCAAACAGGAUUAGAUACCCUGGUAGUCCACGCCCUACUUAUGUCUAGUUGGGUUUCUUGCUAGUAAUUCCUCUAUAGUUACCGCUAGGGGACUCGCAGAUAGA
rnacentral:rRNA from 1 species